rnacentral:lncRNA from 9 species
CAGCCACCUAACUUGAAGCAUCUUUCCUUUGUGCGUGACUUCUAUGCAGCAUAUGAUUGGACUAUUUGGGGGUUCCACUGGCUGGUCGUGAAGAAGGGGACAGAAACAGGAAGUGAUGUUUAGAGCUGUCGCGCUUGGCUGCUCUGCCCCUUGGAGCCUCCUCUAAAGGGUUUCCUUAUCUCUCAAUGGACGUACGUUUUGGAGAUGGGGAGAAAUUAAUUCCCAUUUCCCAGGCUGAGAAGGUGAAGUUGGAUUUGCCACCGGCACGGUGGGGCCAACAGGCCUGGUGCUUCUUCGGGGUCUGGUGUCCUACUGGGGGCCGACACCUCUCAAGAACACAGGGGGACCAAGAGACAGCGAGGCAAGGGCGAGAGGCGACCAUACAGCCACAGAAGAAGCCCUUGCAGACACUGUGAAUCUGGGCCUGCAAAACCAGACGCCGUUUUAAAGAAGAUAUUUUUGUCAAUUUCCAGAGAAGGUAGCAGAAAUGCCAGGCAAUAAAACACACGGCGGCUCCUCUAGAGUGAUGUUCUCGCUCCAAAGAUCCCAGAAUAUCCUGUUAUCUGGCUGCUUUCAUCAACAAGUCAAAUCCACCUAUAAGGACCAGGCAGCCCUGGGAUCCAAGAUCGCAUAAUACUAUUCGGC